rnacentral:lncRNA from 10 species
AAAAAUUGCUAAUACAAUACAAUUUUAUUAAUUUCAGUCCUCAUGUUGUACAUCAGAUCUCUAGACUUGUCCAUCGUACAUGUCUGCCAUAUUAGAAGAGUGUUCUUCAUCUGGAUUAGAAUUCUACAAAGCCUUCAGACUAGGAGACCCUUACUCUUUCUCAUCUGCUGCUUUGAGGGAGCUCCAUACCAAGAGUCCUACCAGCUGGGAGAAAGCCUCCUUGAAGAACACGUCAUAACUCCUAGUAGCACAUAGCUAUCCUCAGGCAGCACAACUUUAUCUCUACUGGUGGAGUGUCAGAUACUUUGGGCAUCUGGAUGAAGGAAAAUUUCAGGUUCUCAGAAUCUCCCUUUAUACAGGUGGCCUCUUCUACAUAGAUCCAGGAGUCCAUCUGGCCUGGAGUGAGCACAGAAGCUAAGAGCCAUAGCAGAGUGUGGUAUCAUUUCCAAAUAUUUGCUGCCCUGCAUGGUGACAGAAUGAUUCGUCCCAGCUACAUGGAUAUCAGGCUUGGUCAUUGAGUUUGUUUUGGCCAAUGAGAUGUGAACAGAAGUGGGGCACAUCACUUCCAAAUUAACACCCUAAAAGCCGCCAAGAAGAUCCCCCCCAUCCCUGUCUUUCCCCACUGCUGACGAAGAGCAACAUCUGAGAAGGGCAAUCUCCCAGGCAGGGGCUGCCUCUUCAGCCAGGGUCUCAGAAUGAUGAUGAUGUGCAGGCUGCAGCAGGCCCCAGAUGAAUACGUGGUGUCCAAUAUGGAGCAUAAGGAAGAAUACACCUUUGUUUGUUG